CUACUGGCUGCGCACUUCGGUCUUUUACGUCGGCCUUCGCGAGCGUCUGGGCGGGUGGUAGGUGAGUGGGUAUUGCGGGCUAGUAUCCGAGCAAAAGAUGGUGGCGCAGGCCGAGUUAAGAGCUUUAAUCCUGUGAAGACAUCUUAGUGAAGAGUUUAGAGUGCUGAGAGUUGAAAGCUUGCACGUGGGAAACGUGCGGCCGGACUGCCACAUGUACUGAGGUUGAGUCGUGACGGCCACAGGCUCCGAGUUUUGGCGUGAGGAACCGCUGAUCGGCCACGGGCGCCGAACUUGCUGGCCUCCGGCAUGUGCCUGAGCGGCGGCGGAAAAACCACCUUAAUUGGGGCGGAGGGUUAGUUUUAACAGCAAAGGGCCUUUACUAAAAUGGCGAAGGCCUUCCGUCGGCGUUGUUUUAAAAUGGGAAGCCUCGACCCUGUAUUGAAACUGAGCUGUUCGAAGGCGGCGUUGUGUGCAAUUCGGAUUAAUGAAGGGGAAGGGUUUUGUGUGGAAAAACGCCUUGGAGUGUGACAUUUCUGCGAGAAUGCUUAAAUACCGAUUUCCCGCAGGAACAAUGGCGCUGUCUUCAGUGGCACAGUGGAGCAGCUCUGAAGAUGCAAAGUGAGGGUCGCUGUCUGCCCAUUGAUAGAGGCCAGAUUGUCUUGGAAGUUCCAAAGUUGCAACGAUUUCUUUAGUUGAAUCCAUGGACAUGAAACCCACAGAUAUAGAGGGUUGGCCCGGUGCAGUGGCUCACGCCUGUAAUCCCAGCACUUUGGGAGGCCAAGGCGGGUGGAUCACCUGAGGUCAGAAGCUUGAGACCAGCCUGGCCAACAUGGUAAAACCCCAUCUCUACUAAUAAUACAAAACAAUUUGCUGGGCAUGGUGGUGCACGCUUGUAAUCCAAGCUACUCCAGAGGCUGAGGCAGAAGAAUCGCUUGAAUCCGAGAGGCAAAGGUUGCAGUGAGCCCAGAUCACACCACUGCUCUCCAACCUGGGCAACAAGAGCAAAACUCCGUCAAAAAAAAAAGAUACAGGGUCAACUGUACACAUUAAACACUUCUAUCAACUAGUGAUGUCAGUCUUGUCCAUUGUAUUAUUGCCUAUCUUACUAAACAGUCAUAUUUCAGGAAGUACAAUAUACUCAAAAACUAAGUUAAUGUUCUUUGUAGAUUUAUGGUUAAUGGAUGAUUCAUAUAAUAGAAACUUAAAUUUAUUUGACCAUUCUAUUUAAUAUAGAAUAAAUACAACUAGCCAGGCAUGGUGGCUCAUGUCUAUAAUGCCAGCACUUGGGGAGGCCAAGGUGGGAGGCUCACUUGAGCAUAGGAAUUCAAGGCCAGCCUGGGCAACACAAUGUGAGACCCGUCUCUAUGAAAAUUUUAAAAAUUAGCCAAGCAUGGUAACACAAGUCUGUGGUCCCAGCUACUUGGGAGGCUGAGGCGCGAGAAGUCCAGGAGGUCAACGCUGCAGUGAGCUGUGUGUGUGCCACUGCAUCCUAGCCUGGGCAACAGAGCAAGACCCUGUCUCAAAAAUAAAGAAUAAAUACAACCUAUUAAGCUUGAGAGAUCCAGUGAAAUCCAAAUAAGAGAAACUGUGUCCUACACAGUUUUCUGUUAACCAUUUUCUUGGUAUUUAAAUUAUUUAUCAAAUUUUAACUUCAAUAAAAAAUUAUUCUGGAGAACACAUACCUCUAGAGUAAGUAAAGUAUACACUUUCAAUUUUUAGACAUGAGGUUUUGAGGUGUUUGAC
rnacentral:lncRNA from 1 species